rnacentral:rRNA from 1 species
CAAUAGCGUAUAUUAAAGUUGUUGCGGUUAAAAAGCUCGUAGUUGGAUUUCUGCCGAGGACGACCGGUCCGCCCUCCGGGUGAGUAUCUGGCUCGGCCUGGGCAUCUUCUUGGAGAACGUAACUGCACUUGGCUGUGUGGUGCGGUAUUCAGGACUUUUACUUUGAGGAAAUUAGAGUGUUUCAAGCAGGCACACGCCUUGAAUACAUUAGCAUGGAAUAAUAAGAUAGGACCUCGGUUCUAUUUUGUUGGUUUCUAGAUCUGAGGUAAUGAUUAAUAGGGAUAGUUGGGGGCAUUCGUAUUUAACUGUCAGAGGUGAAAUUCUUGGAUUUGUUAAAGACGGACUACUGCGAANGNAUUUGGNAAGGAUGUUUNCAUUG